AGAAGGGUAUAGUAUUACAUAUACUGGAUUUGGACUGCAUCUAACUCUUGUUCUUGCCGGUUUACUCUGUGAGUUGACUUAACUCCUUUUGAUUAAUAGCACACUCAUGUUCCCCAAAAAAGUGGAGUAAUAUGUGCAUGUAGGUUUUGGUUAAUUAUUUUCUGUGUGGGCAUAUUUUAUGGAAAUUACUUUUGAAGUGAAGGCAAACACAUGCAAUUUUGUUAACUGAAAUGCAAAAUAAAUGAAGCAAACAAUAAAACGUGGUGUAUUUUCAUAACUGUUUGUUGAAUAAGUGUAUGCUUAUUUCCUUUUUACUUGAUUUGAAAUAUUUUAGUAGUCAUUUUCUCAUGGAUAGAUAUCUGUACUUCAUUUAAAUAAUUAGUCCAAAGGCAUGACGAGCAGGUAUUGUUACGUUUCUCAAAAAUAGAAAGAGAAAACAUAAUUAUUCUGGGUUCCAUUUUCUAUAAUUCCAUACAAUAAUUUCAUGAUCUAAGCUUUAGCAUCAAUUUCUUUGACAAAACAAACGGCAAGUUUUAAGUCUGAACUGGACUGUUGCCGGUGCAUGUUUCUUACAUGAACUUUCUUGGGAACAUAUAAUCUUGUACAUGCAGAUACUGCAGUUUACGCAUGCUGAUAAGGCCCAUUUCAAUCUUUUUGUUUCUACAUGGUUCUCGUGCAUUUACAAAUGGAUCUUUAGAGAUCUUUAUGAAUCAGAAAAACCCCGAUACUGUGUAUUUUUUAUGGAAAAUCCAAAAGUAUGUUCUUAUUUUGGUUAUUUCUUACUACUCCCUCCGUUCCAAAUUACUUGUCGCAGAAAUGGAUGUAUCUAGAACUAAAUUACAUCUAGAUACAUCCAUACCUGCGACAAGUAAUUCGGAACGGAGGGAGUAGAUAAUAAGCUAUGAAGCAUGCCUGUUGAGAAUUGUUUUGCCGCUACUUGCUUUAGGGACAUAUAUUCGUAGACUCACAAGCCACAUAUGCUAGUCCACGAUCUUUACGCAAAUCAGGCCACAUAUGUAGGUUGACAUAAUCUUCUCUCAAUUCUUCUGUAUUUUAUUUCUCCUGGAUGUGAAAAGCAUGUUUCCUUUCUGUCAGCCAUUAUCAUUGGCACAGGGGACUUUAUCUUUUCCUUUCUUUUCAGCCAUUAUCCCACGCAUAGCAAAAUAUCUCAGACUAUACACAACUCCAAUACAAAGUGUAUGCGAUUGCACGACCUGCCACUCAUACGCCAUAAGAGCAAGCUUUUGUACAUCUAUAUCGACUACUAGGGUGUGCUUUGUAUUGGAUAUGCACUAUACUGAUGCUGUUUCCCUUUUCACUAAAUGCUUGGGUAUUUCUUUCGUCGGAUUUGGUUCAUGUAGGUCAUACAACAUAAGCCAUCUGUGCUAUAUCCAGACACCCUUGUUGAUUGAAUCUGACCAAAAUGUAACUAGAUACUGGAUCUUGUGUAAGAUCCCAAUUUCUACUCAUUUGCUGACUUCUGUAUACUACAUCCGCCUUCGUGGAGACAGUAGCUAAGAAAAGUCAAGGCAGGAGCAAGCCAGGAAGGCAUGGAAGCAGCACUGAUGUGGAGGCCACCAACCUGCCAAUCUUGCAGUCCACUUUGUGGCCUCUCUACACCUUUUUUAUCUUGGGCAUCUUUACUUCUGAAGGCCCCCCCAUACACUGCAGUUGUUUUCGCAUCCGAGCUCUUCUCGCUUGCUUCUUUAUUGGAACACUGAUCGGUCAUCAUCCGUGUGGUGACAAUUAGUUCCUGUUCCUAUACCCAUUGAAUGCAUCACAAGUCAGGAUGGUGAAAUUGAUCAGGAAGUGGGUAGCAGGGGUUAUUGCCUUUGUUGCCGGGAGGACUCUCUUGCUAUGAUGAUGGUGACCACCGCAAACCACUGAGUCGACGGAUCGUCAAGUUCGUUUCAAAGAUUAUUAUGGUGACAAGCAAUAGGGAACCAAAGGCCACCACCCAAUUCCGUGUGAUUUGGUGUCACCCCGCUCAAAGUUGGAGCAAAAGCAGCGUCCACUGGAUGUUGGAAAAUUAAGGAUAUAUGCUUUUUGGCCUGUGCCGUGAGGUUUAAUAACACAUGAUGGGAUUAUGGAUUGACGCGACCGGGGGGCACCUGUCAUGCCAUAGGGCUUAGUGGAUGUCAUCUUAUCGUCGACGUACGCCACCAUUAGCGGGAAGGGAGAAGAUUGCCUUGUGGCCAUGAUCUUGACAUGUGGAUCGAUACUACCGGUACCAGUACCAUAGAACAGUAAGCAGUCGGUCCAGAUGGUCAUUUGGCCCGCAAAAUAUGUGCCAUCAGCAAGCCCAUGCUAUAGUUCUUUUUUUAUGGUGAACAGUGGAGGAGCAUGUGCCCCAGAGUUACUGUACUUAUCACCGACCAGAUGCCAGCCUUGUUGUUUUUUCUUUUUACUCUUCUUAUAAAUCAAAUUUCUAUAUUUUUUGCAAAUUCAAUCUUGUAUGCUCAAGAAGUUCAGGGAUUACAA